AAAUGAAAAGUUAAAGAACUGUCGUAGUUUAUUGAUUAAUUUGUCAUUGGAAAGUAGCAAAAGAGAUAUCCAUAUUCAAGAUUUAUACUUUUAACUUGACCAAGAAGCGAUUGCUUUUUGAGGGUACGUGUUUACUGAUGGCUGGCGGAAGCACACGAGAGAACGCACAAAAGUGAGCUCUCAUCCCAUCUGAUAGCUUUUUCGCUUUAAAGAGAAGGUUGCCCUGCAGGGUGUUUUACAGGUACUUGUCUUUCUUUCAUGCUUGGGUACUUGGAUUUUGGAGACACCGGCUGGGAAGAAAAGUGUUUUAGAUAAGAGAAUAUUCGAUCGCCAACGUAUUGCAAAUCUUUGGAAUGUUACUACACGCUAUUGCCAUGCCAAUGGGCUUUUGUGAACAAGAAUCUUAUAUCAGGUUUGGGCUUUAUUACAAGACAUCGUGGCAAUCAUAGUCCCAGGAAGAAGAUUGAACGUGCAGGACCUUUUCAGGAUUGAGAUUUUUACAUUUUGCAAGUGACAGGGAAUUGGUGUUAGAAGAGAUGGGAUACUGUUUCGGGCGAAUUUACCUGUGAAGCAAUACAUCACUAAUCCACUUAGGGGUCAAAAAAAAGUUUGAUUGCCUACCUUUUUUCUUUUUCACGUCAUAUGUCAUAACAAGGAAAAAAACCUUGUCAGGAGAAUCUCAUACUGUGACCCUUCUCAACUUCUCAUAUCAUCUUAUCAAUCAGACAUUAACGAAAAAGUGACGGUGCAAAAGUCUACAACAUCUCGGCAUGGGUUUCUUUUUCUUGCAGCAAAUAGUUGUUGUAACAUCCUUCUUUAUUCCCCCCUCCCUCUUCUUUUCUUUCCCUUUUUAUUUUUUUGUCUAAUCUGGAUUAGCAUUUCAUUAUUUGAUGAAAAAAAAUAUGGAGCCAAGCUUUUCUUGGACAAUUCAAGCCCUA